GAACUCCUUGUAGCCGACAUAUAGGCUCGUACGAGUUGAUUAUGUGAGGCCUGUCCAGUUUCCUAAUUAACAUCUUCUAAAAUAAAGUUUUCCUAAAUACUAUUCUAAAGAAAGUUUUCCUAAUUUCAUCCGAGAUCUAAUCGUGAGUUUCCCGUAUCCCCCAGCCAGGCAGCCACGAUCAUGGGUUCUGAAAACUACUAUGCGAGUCGCACGCGCUCAUGCACAUCGCCCAGCGCGUGCCACAGAAGCAUAUACGGAUCACGCCAUCGCGCAGCGCCUGAUCGGACAAUUACCGACAUCGAUUCAACCGAUCCAAAGUAUUAUCAUAUUCUUGAUUCUAAAUCAUAGGUGAAACCCGGCCAUGGUUGCAGCACAAUUGCUGCUGGAAAAUCGUCCGCGAUGAUUUUCAUGCCGGCCAAAAUCACGGGAGAUCAUAGGGAUUGCGAGAGAUAAUACUGAUUUAGGCUAAUUUUUUGCUGCAAAUUUGAAUGCCAUGAUUUCCCUUCUCUCGCAAUUUUAACUAGUGGUCAUAUCAUCAUUCCUUUUCCUCAUCAUACGUGUAUUGCUAAUUAAGUAUUUCAUCUUCGUCGAUAUGAUGCAUGCCUUAUACUUUUGAUGCAAAUCUCUUUAUUUUCAGUAUUCUGUAUACACUAUUUCAUAUCAAUAUUGCUUAUAGAUUUAUUAUUACAAAAAUACUCGUGGAUUUAUUAUAAUGUUUGUUGAUAAUAUUUCACAUUGGUAAUAAAUAUACGCAUAUAAUUAUAAUUUAUAUGAUCCUCAUAUAAAGGAUCCGAUACCCCAUCCAAACAAUAUACUCCCUCCAUUCCUAAAUGUUAGGUGUAUUAGUUUUUUUUUUAAAUCAAACGUUCUCUAUGUUUGGUCCUCCUCGUGCUCGUGAUGUUUCCAUUGCACAUCACUUUCACCUUGCCUUGGUGGGGAAUUUUUUUAGCAUUUCAUUCAGCUAUGCUUUGUUCCAAAUAUUCAAGUUGUUUUCGCGUGCCAUUUAUAAUCACUGACUGGGACAUCAAUUGCAAUGCCUGUAUUGCCAAAUGCAGGCCACGGGCGAGGCCGGGCGAGGCGGCGAAGAGGGGUCACUCCGGCAGGCUAUCAACGGCGGCAGAGGCUUAGCGCUUGCCCUUUCAAUCACCUUGUAUAUUUGCAGUUUGUCCCGUCUUUCCUACCCAGCCACAAGAGAGAGAGAGAGAGAAAGGAUAUUGAGAUGGGCACUGCAUGGCUAUUUUCAAACAACUGGGCUCACACUCGACUGCCAUAAGAGCAAGCUUAAAGUGGUGUACAAGAACUCCAGAAAGAAGCUGGGACGAGUCUUCCUGUGUCCGGUUGUAAUUGAUCUUGCAAAUAUAAAGUUGUUAUAUUAUUGUUUACAAUGAAAACAACAU
rnacentral:lncRNA from 1 species